rnacentral:rRNA from 1 species
GACGAACGCUGGCGGCGUGCCUAAUACAUGCAAGUAGAACGCCGUUGCGAACGGGUGAGUAACGCGUAGGUAACUGCCCCAUAGCGGGGGACAACCAUUGGCAACGAUAGCUAAUACCGCCUACUGUGAGAUGGACCUGCGUUGUAUUACCUAGUGUGUGAGGUAAAGGCUCACCAAGGCGACGUUCCAUAGCCGACCUGAGGGGGGGAACGGCCAAACUGGGGAUGAGAAACGGCCCAGACUCCCACGGGAGGCAGCAAUAGGGAAGCUUCGGCAAUGGGCGGAAGUCUGACCGAGCAACGCCAGGUGGGAGGAGAAGGUUUUCGGAGCGUAAAACUCUGUUGUUAGAGAAGCGGUAACUAACCAGAAAGGGACGGCUAACUACGUGCCAGCAGCCGCGGUAAUAC